rnacentral:rRNA from 1 species
UACGGAGGGUGCAAGCGUUAUCCGGAUUCACUGGGUUUAAAGGGUGCGUAGGCGGGCAGGUAAGUCCGUGGUGAAAUCUCUGAGCUUAACUCAGAAACUGCCAUGGAUACUAUUGUCUUGAAUAUUGUGGAGGUAAGCGGAAUAUGUCAUGUAGCGGUGAAAUGCUUAGAUAUCUGGAGGAACACCGGUGGCGAAGGCGGCGUUCUGGGAAGAUACGUGACGCUG